rnacentral:lncRNA from 1 species
GGGGGUCAGAGACCUAGCCCUCCUUUGAACGCUUAGACUUUUCCCGGGGAUUAUAUUUGGGGGAUUUGGGAAACUUUGAUUAGUUAGAACAUGGAACUUGAUAAUUCAGGAAACUUAGAUUUUUUACAAUAAACCUCAUAAUUGAAUAAACUCAACUUGAAACGCUUUAAUUAAUUAUCGAUGACCUUAGGGAAACUUAGGAAAUUGAAAUGAUUGUGAAAUACGGGAAAAAGUCGAAAAGCCAUGACUUGA